GCUGGGUAGGGCGGGAGGAGGAGGAGGAUCUGGGCCACAGGCAGUGGAUCCUCAGCUCCGCCCACGGCGGCAGGUCUCAGAGGACCGAGAGCCCGAGGAGAACACAGCCCCCACCCAGGCUUUAGCCAGUGCAGCCCUGACCGCAGUCCAAAGCCCUAUCGGCACAUGCCCUCGGCGCUGAGAAAACAGACGGCUGGACGCAGACGACGAGGACCACUCGGGUUCCACAUGCACGUUUAGGGUGGAAGGCGCGUUCCUGCUGCCCCGCCCCUGCCCUCACCUGUUCUUUAUACUGAUCGGCGUGGCGGCGUUCAUCCUCAACCUGCAUGAAGAUUUCCUUCAGCUUCUUCUCGCCAAGGGAGCUCCCAUGGGACAAAGCGCAUGUCUGUGUCACCCCCGACUCACAGGCUGGACCUGGACCUGGUCUGUAGCAGAGACGCUGUAAAAACCUUUCUUUGGUUUACAGCAGCAAAAAC